AUAACACAAAAAUACAAAUUAAGAAAAAAGAAAGAAAGACAGUGAUCUAUCUUUGUCAUAUGAGACAAAAAAGAUGACAGUGGAAACAGCAAAACUAGCUACUUAGAACCGGAGAUGGUCCAAAAUGUAGCCUAAUAAAAAACGUACAAAAGAGGGAGACAAAAAAUUAAAAAGGAACCACAUACUUUUAUUAUGCUUUUGCUAGCUAUACGUUUGCCAUCUUCCCAUCGCUCUUAUCUCUACGCAAUCCUCAACCUUGGAGAAACCACGAACAACAACACAAGAUCUGUGUAUAUAUAUACACACAUAUACAUGCAUAUAUAGCCUCACAAUAACUAUACAUAUCAAGACUCUAUGGAGGCCGCCAUGGAUUAUAUAUUUUUACACCCUCUUAUCGUGCACCUGCAGCAGUUGAAGCUGCCAGCAUGAUCUGAGUUUACCUUCUUUAACGGUAAGAACAGAUCAUGUGGCUGCUUCACCUGUUGAACGGAAGCAUAUACAAACCCUAAUUCGCUUUCUCAUCCUCCUCUUCGUAUCUUCAUACAACCCUAGAAAAGAAAAGAAACAAGAGAGGAUGGUGGCAUGUGUUCAAGUGACAGUAAGGCGUUAUUCGUGGAAAUCAUUAUGCUGCGGAAUGGGAUGAAAACUGCAUGUGUUUUCCUUUAACAGAUCAACUAAAGUCAACCUUGUGAUCUAGUUCUUACCGAUAUAUAAAUGGAAUCAACUUGUUGGCCAACUAAGACUUCAUUCAGAGGAAAAUUGUAAAGUGAACCGCAAUUGACAGAUACGGUGUAUCAAAUAAAAAGGCAGAACGAACAUAUCUCUGGGAAGAUCCGUAUGUAUAUGUAAAUCUAUGACAUAACACUUUUAAAUUUCCUGACUUGAUAGAUUCUUACACAAAAUGCACGCUAUCUAUAUGGAUAUUGAACAUGUGCAUACAUGAUAUGGAAGUUAAUUAAGUUAAUUCAUUGCUAAACACUUCCAUUGCUGAAAUCAAAGCUUUUGGGGGAGAAGUUGCAUAUAUCGUGCUUUUUAGAUUAAUUCACAAGAGGUUUUCCUCUGUUGUUCAAUUUUUCUAAGUUAAAAUGUUGACUAUAUUAAAUUUAUUUAGUUGAAAUCAUUUAUGAAUUAUUAAGGUACUGAAUUAUAUUAAAGUUAAAUAAGAAGUUUAAUUAUCAUCUUUUCUUACCUUUUUUAUAUAUGUUAUUGGAAAAUUUGCUCAAAUAUCACUGAUCAUACCUUUUAUAUAUACAUGUGUGUGUGGACCAAAAUUGUGGGAAUAAAUGAUGAUUUUACAAAGAAAAAUAAAUAAAGUAAAAUAAAAUAGUUUCUUUGGUCUUGUUGGCUGACUUGAAUUUCUUCCAUGUGAAGGAAAAAUCUUGCUUUCAUUAUUUCCCUAUCCCUCUCACCGGUGAGGUGGGCCAAGACUUUAUUAUAUCGAUUAGAGAAAUUUAUCCUUUCAUAUAAAUUAAU